rnacentral:lncRNA from 1 species
AUAGUGAUCGAGCUUAAUCAGCUCAUGACUUGUAUAUAUAAUAAUGACUCCAAGCAAUUACAAUGUAAAACCCUAGAAAAUUGUACUGCUGAUAACUUGGAACUGGGAAUCACGUGAUGCCAUUAAGACAAACUCUCCGACCAACCCAUUAUUUUACUCCAAACGAGACCCGCAGAGAGAGAGAGAGAGAGAGAGAGAGAGAGAGAGAGAGAGAGAGUCAGUCAAAAGUAAGGAAAUCAAAAUUUUGAUAGAAUUUGUUUAAAAAAGGACUUGAAGUUAAUAUUAUUCUUUUUCCUCUCUUCUAACAUAGAGGAGAUCUAUGGGGGAUGCCUUUUCUUCUAGUACUACUGAUGCUGGAGGCCAUAAUUAN